UCGAGAUACGUUCGUAUUCAAUAGUCAAUGCUAGUUGCAGCUCAAUUAGGCUAUGCGUUUCGUGAUUGACAGUAUUUUUUAUUAAUAAAUUGUUCACAAAACCAUAAUGAAAAUUUUCUUCUUACAAAGAAAAAUGCUGCUUGAAAUUAUUUAAUAAAUUAUAUAAGGAAUCUUCAGUUUAUGUAAAUAUGUAUAAAAUAUAUUUUAUAAAUGAAGAAAAAAAAAUAUCUGAUAAUCUAAUAUCUAAGAUUUAGAUUAUUAGGUUAGGUUUUUCCGCAUAGUUGAACGAUAUCGCGAUUGUGGAAGCGUGAAUGGAUGAAUCAUAUCAUAAAAUUCUUAUAUUAUUAUAUAUAUUACAUAUAUUUAAAUAUAUGCAUAUAUAUUUAUUAAACAAUAUUUAAGAUUAAAAGAUUCAGCAAUAUAUUUAUACGCGAGUCAUAUAAUUGUGUGGGGAUUGAUAAAAUCAUAAGUUAAUCAUAGAAUGGAGAGCAAUAAUAAUAAUAAUGUAAAUACAAGUUUAUACAGACAAAGAAAAAUUUAAUGGUUUAUAAAAUAUGUUAUAAUGCUUAAAAUUGAUAUUAUUAUAAUAAUCCAUGUAACUUAAGACAAUUCAUGUUUUUUUCUAAUUAAAAAGAAAUAUUAGAAGAGAAAAUUUUGAAUUAUGAAGAAUUAAAGAAUUUAAAUUUUCAGAAUCAUAUUUUUAUUUUGAAACAUCUGUAUACAAAAAAAAAAUAUCUUUUUUUUCAUAGAUUCAUGUACGUAUUCGAAAUAAAUGUCUUAAAAAAACACAAAUAUUUUGUAUCGAUAUUUAAACACAUUACUAUUUUAAAUUCAAUCUUGUUACAUUAUUGUUUUCAUAACAAAGGCAGAUAUAUAUUCACAAACAUUUCAUCACUGACUAAUAACUUAUCAUACAAGAGUGUAAAAUGUAUAACAAUUGUAAAAGCUUUAAUGCAUAAAAUAUAUUUCUUGAAAUCAU